ensembl:lncRNA
CUGUGGUAGGGCUGUGGUAAGGUAUGGCUGUGGUAGGGCUGUGGUAAGACUGUGGUAGGGCUGUGGUAGGGCUGUGGUAAGGUAUGGCUGUGGUAGGCCUGUGGUAAGACUGUGGUAGGGCUGUGGCAAGGUAGGGCUGUGGUAGGGCUGUGGUAAGGCUGUGGUAAGGCUGUGGUAGGGCUGUGAUAGGGCUGUGGUAAGGCUGUGGUAAGGCUGUGGUAAGGCUGUUGUAGGGCUGUGGUAAGUCUGUGGUAGGGCUGUGGUAAGGCUGUGGUAGGGCUGUGGUAGGGCUGUGGUAGGGCUGUGGUAGGGAUGUGGUAAGGCUGUGGUAAGGCUGUGGUAAGGCUGUGGUAUGGCUGUGGUAGGGCUGUGGUAAGGCUGUGGUAAGGCUGUGGUAGGGCUGUGUUAGGGCUGUGGUAAGGUACGGCUGUGGUAAGGCGGUGGUAAGACUGUGGUAGGGCUGUGGCAAGGUGGGGCUGUGGUAAGUUAUGGCUGUGGUAGCGCUGUGGUAAGACUGUGGUAGGGCUGUGGUAAGGCUGUGGUAGGGCUGUGGUAAG